CUUGGUCAUUUAGAGGAAGUAAAAGUCAUAACAAGGUUUCCGUAGGUGAACCUGCGGAAGGAUCAUUAAUAGUGCCCAUUGAUGCAAAUCAUUGGGUUAGAUCUGCCCUUAUCGCAAGAUGAGGGCUUCCAUAUACACCGUGAACUGUGGCUUCGGCCAUCACAAACUGUUAGUAAUGAAUGUAAUAUCAUAACAAAAACAAAACUUUUAACAACGGAUCUCUUGGCUCUCGCAUCGAUGAAGAACGCAGCGAAAUGCGAUAAGUAAUGUGAAUUGCAGAAUUCAGUGAAUCAUCGAAUCUUUGAACGCACCUUGCGCCCUUUGGUAUUCCGAAGGGCAUGCCUGUUUGAGUGUCAUGAAACCUCACCCCACUUAGGUUUUUGCCUAAGCGGUGGUGUAUUGGGUGUUUGCCUUGCUAAAGGCUCGCCUUAAAGAUAUAAGCACCUUGGAUGUAAUACGUUUCAUCCUUCUGGGUGGCUGAUAACCCCACAUAUUCAUGAUCUGGCCUCAAAUCAGGUAGGGCUACCCGCUGAACUUAAGCAUAUCAAUAAGCGGAGGAAAAGAAACUAACUAGGAUUCCCUUAGUAACGGCGAGUGAACCGGGAUGAGCUCAAAUUUAAAAUCUGGCGUCUUUCAGGCGUCCGAGUUGUAAUCUAUAGAGGCGUUUUCCGCGCCGGACCGCGUCCAAGUCUCUUGGAAUAGAGUAUCAAGGAGGGUGACAAUCCCGUACUUGACGCGACAACCGGUGCUCUGUGAUACGUUCUCAAUGAGUCGAGUUGUUUGGGAAU
rnacentral:sRNA from 1 species